GAUGAACGCUAGCGGGAGGCCUAACACAUGCAAGCCGAGCGGUAGAGUUUCUUCGGAAACUUGAGAGCGGCGCACGGGUGCGUAACACGUGUGCAACCUACCUUUAUCUGGGGGAUAGCCUUUCGAAAGGAAGAUUAAUACCCCAUAAUAUAAUGAUUGGCAUCAAUUAUUAUUGAAAACUCCGGUGGGUAGAGAUGGGCACGCGCAAGAUUAGAUAGUUGGUGAGGUAACGGCUCACCAAGUCAAUGAUCUUUAGGGGUCCUGAGAGGGAGAUCCCCCACACUGGUACUGAGACACGGACCAGACUCCUACGGGAGGCAGCAGUGAGGAAUAUUGGACAAUGGGUGAGAGCCUGAUCCAGCCAUCCCGCGUGAAGGAUGACGGUCCUAUGGAUUGUAAACUUCUUUUGUACAGGGAUAAACCUACCCUCGUGAGGGUAGCUGAAGGUACUGUACGAAUAAGCACCGGCUAACUCCGUG
rnacentral:rRNA from 1 species